rnacentral:rRNA from 1 species
CAAGACGUUCCCUUCGGGGACAGAGUGACAGGUGGUGCAUGGUUGUCGUCAGCUCGUGUCGUGAGAUGUUGGGUUAAGUCCCGCAACGAGCGCAACCCUUGAUUCUAGUUGCCAGCAUUUAGUUGGGCACUCUAGAGUGACUGCCGGUGACAAACCGGAGGAAGGUGGGGAUGACGUCAAAUCAUCAUGCCCCUUAUGACCUGGGCUACACACGUGCUACAAUGG